UUUUUUUUUUUUUUUUGAGGCAGGGUCUCUGUUGUCCAGGCUGGAGUGCAGUGGUGCAUUCUUGGCUCACUGCGACCUCUGCCUCCCAGGCUCAUCCUUCCACCUCAGCCUCCUGAGUAGCUGGGACUACAGGUGUGUGCCACCUUGCCCAGCUAAUUAAAAAGAUUUUUUUUUUUUUUUGUAGAGAUGAGGUUUUGCCAUGUUACCCAGGCUGGUCUUGAACUCCUGGACUCAAGCGAUCCACCUGCCUCGGCCUCCUAAAGUGCUGGGAUUUCAGGUGUGAGCCACUGUGCCCAGCCCGAAGAAGCUUUAUCUGAUCUGAACCUGAUUUAGAUAAGGAGGUCCUGGACUUUGUUCCAAUGCUGCAGAGAGUGAGACUUCUGUGGGGAGAGGAGUGUCCUUCGCAUUUGGGAAAGAUGUGAACUACUGUGGCCAGAGGGUGAACUAUGGUAGAUCGCUUCUAAAGAUGGGAGCAGCAAUGUUUCUUCCCAAGCAACAUUCUCCUUUGAAAUGUGACUUUGCCACCCAUCACAUCAAGAGGGUCUUAGAUACAUGACGGCACUGUUGUCUUCCUGAAAACCUCUUCAUCCUGCAGAAGGUGCAACUCCACAGCAUCCUGAGAGGUUGGACAUAAGGCUUGGAAAGAAUGAAUGGUGCCUCUCGGUGAAUUCCUACAACCUGAAUCCUGUGACCCCACCUGUGAUGGCCCAAUGUUAUUGAAAUUACUGACUCCAUCCACUUAGCAAGUGGUAAAUACUCUGCAGGCAUAGAUUUGACUAAUGUGUUCUGUUCAGCGCCUGUUUCAACAGAUCUCAGCUGCAGGUUGCUUUCACCCCUGAAGGGACACAAUAGACCGUUAUCUGGUUACCACGGGGUACCUCGACAGUUCUGCCACCAUAGACAAUCUUUGGAGGCAGGAUUUGAACUGCAUCUGAC
rnacentral:antisense_RNA from 1 species